rnacentral:rRNA from 1 species
GACGAACGCUGGCGGCGUGCUUAACACAUGCAAGUCGAACGGAAAGGCCCUGCUUGCAGGGUACUCGAGUGGCGAACGGGUGAGUAACACGUGGGUGAUCUGCCCUGCACUUCGGGAUAAGCCUGGGAAACUGGGUCUAAUACCGGAUAGGAGCCAUUUUUAGUGUGAUGGUUGGAAAGUUUUUUCGGUGUAGGAUGAGCUCGCGGCCUAUCAGCUUGUUGGUGGGGUAAUGGCCUACCAAGGCGGCGACGGGUAGCCGGCCGGAGAGGGUGGACGGCCACAUUGGGACUGAGAUACGGCCCAGACUCCUACGGGAGGCAGCAGUGGGGAAUAUUGCACAAUGGGCGCAAGCCUGAUGCAGCGACGCCGCGUGGGGGAUGACGGCCUUCGGGUUGUAAACUCCUUUCGCUAGGGACGAAGCUUUUUGUGACGGUACCUAGAAAAGAAGCACCGGCUAACUACGUG